GACGAACGCUGGCGGCGUGCCUAAUACAUGCCAGUAGAACGCUGAAGAGAGGAGCUUGCUCUUCUUGGAUGAGUUGCGAACGGGUGAGUAACGCGUAGGUAACCUGCCUUGUAGCGGGGGAUAACUAUUGGAAACGAUAGCUAAUACCGCAUAACAAUGGAUGACACAUGUCAUUUAUUUGAAAGGGGCAAUUGCUCCACUACAAGAUGGACCUGCGUUGUAUUAGCUAGUAGGUGAGGUAACGGCUCACCUAGGCGACGAUACAUAGCCGACCUGAGAGGGUGAUCGGCCACACUGGGACUGAGACACGGCCCAGACUCCUACGGGAGGCAGCAGUAGGGAAUCUUCGGCAAUGGGGGCAACCCUGACCGAGCAACGCCGCGUGAGUGAAGAAGGUUUUCGGAUCGUAAAGCUCUGUUGUAAGUCAAGAACGAGUGUGAGAGUGGAAAGUUCACACUGUGACGGUAGCCUACCGGAAAGGGACGGCUAACUACGUG
rnacentral:rRNA from 1 species